rnacentral:tRNA from 1 species
GCUGAAAUUCGGCCAGGGCUCCAUCGCAGACUUUCCUCACGAUAUCUCAAGCAGAAUCGAUUUUUCCCUCUCAAGGCUGAAACAGGGGUUCGAUUCCCCUAGGGAGCGCCA